AAUCAACGCUGGCGGCGUGCCUAACACAUGCAAGUCGAACGCGAAAGCCCGCAAGGGUAAGUAGAGUGGCGCACGGGUGAGUAACACGUGGACAACCUGCCUUCGAGUGGGGAAUAACCUUCCGAAAGGGGGCGUAAUACCGCAUAAAACUGCGGAACACAAGUUCUGGGGUUGAAAAGAGCAAUUUGCUCGAAGAGGGGUCCGCGCCUGAUCAGCUAGUUGGUGAGGUAACGGCUCACCAAGGCUUCGAUCAGUAGCCGUCCUGAGAGGGAGCACGGCCACACUGGAACUGGGACACGGUCCAGACUCCUACGGGAGGCAGCAGUGGGGUAAUUUUUGGCAAUGGGCGGAAAGCCUGACCAAGCAACGCCGCGUGGGUGAUGAAGUAUCUUGGUACGUAAAACCCUUUCGGCAGGGACGAACCUAAUGACGGUA
rnacentral:rRNA from 1 species